UACGGAGGGUGCAAGCGUUAAUCGGAAUUACUGGGCGUAAAGCGCACGCAGGCGGUUUGUUAAGUCAGAUGUGAAAUCCCCGGGCUCAACCUGGGAACUGCGUUUUGAACUGGCGGACUAGAGUGUGUCAGAGGGGGGUAGAAUUCCACGUGUAGCAGUGAAAUGCGUAGAGAUCUGGAGGAAUACCGGUGGCGAAGGCGGCCCCCUGGACGAAGACUGACGCUCAGGUGCGAAAGCGUGGGGAGCAAACAGG
rnacentral:rRNA from 1 species